AAAAGAAAAAGAAAAAGAAAGUUAAAAAAAUAAACAUUGGGGAAAGAAAAAUAUUCGUUUAGGUUGAGGCAUGGCGAUAUGAAGACGAUUUGACCGGGAGGCUUGUGAUUGGUGGAUUUUUUUCCUACUGUCCGAUUUCUUUCUUCCUGUAGGUAUGUCUAUUUCGUUCGUGUUGGUCCACCGGAUUCCCAGAAACAAGAGUAGCUAUCAAACUGUCAUGAUGAUGCUAAAUGUGGGGAAAUAUUUCCAAUUUAGUGGAGCAAAAGUCAAUAUUAAAAUGCUAACAAGAGAAACAGUGAGAAGCAAGAUUUUGAUUCACAUGAGGCUACCAAGAGACCAUGGUACAAAUAGUCAUAGUCUUGGCUGAAAAAGUAUCUAUAUAUACAUUUUUAAUAAAGUUUUUGGUUGAAAA
rnacentral:sRNA from 1 species